UCCCUUUCACUCCUCUGACGAAGAGGGCGGGCUACCAUGAGACUGAGUGGGAACACGUUCAACAUCAACACGGUACAGCCUGGAUUUCUGUUCCAAAAUCCCGUUUUACCUGCCAGCGAAAAGUUCCCUCUUCGCAAGGUGUGACGAGUCCAGCUGGGAUCAGCUGUGUCCAAUUUCCCCUGGAUUCUAAAACUUGAAGGACCGCAGCCUAGCCGGGAAGCAGAGCUCAACUUCGUGACUUCUGUGUGCGUCAGUAGACACGUGCGGUCGGAGUCCGAAAUCU